rnacentral:rRNA from 1 species
GUGAGUAAUAUAUAAGUAAUCUACCUAUAGGAAAGGAAUAACUCUAAGAAAUUGGGGCUAAUACCAUAUAAUGCAGCGGCACCGCAUGGUGAUGUUGUUAAAGUAAUUUAUUACGCCUAUAGAUGAGCUUGUAGUCGAUUAGCUAGUUGGUAAGGUAAUGGCUUACCAAGGCUACGAUCGAUAGCUGGUCUGAGAGGAUGAUCAGCCACACUGGAACUGAGACACGGUCCAGACUCC